UUAUUGGGGUUUUGACUUGGAUUUCAAUGGGUUAAGAGAUGAAACCAUCGUGUCAAACCUCACUAUAAACUACUGACCUUUUCAUAUCGAAGGAGUUACUUAUAGGAAAGGAAACCAUAGGCAAUCCUUUUAAAACUAUGAACAUUUUAUCUACAUUGCAUGACAAGACAAUGGAGAAUAAAGAAUAUCUUAAUAAAUAUUUUGACUGAGAUUUUCUACAUUCCUAUUAUGGAAUUCAAUUUUUUUAAUAGAAAUGCUUUUUUCUCAGAUUUAAUUCUCAUGCAUAUAAAUAUUAAGGCAAUCAUCUAGAGAUAGAUUUUCAACAUAAGGGCAGAUAAAGUAAGUCUUAAAGAGAAUAUUUAACAAUAUUGGCAAAGGCAAUACAAAAUGUGGAAAAUAUGGGCACUAACAGAAAAAGAUAUGUCAUAAAAAUGGAUGUGUACGUGAACACUGCAUUCACUUGGGUGAUUAUUAGUUAACACUCUAAUGUCAUCUCUAUCUUAUGACUUUCUCUGGAGAGUAAAAUGUCACAUAUUCCAUUGAGCAAACACCAAAUGUACAUUUGCAGAGGCCACUGAGAGAUUUUGUUCAGCUUCAUUACCAACAGCUCUUGCUAUUUAAGACUCAAAAGACACCCAGUGGAAUCGAAUCCACAGCAUGAAUUUUCAAGAAAUUGCAAUUUGAGUACUAAGGCAGUGCAUGCUAUGUUCAUUUAAGAGUAAAGACUUGGGUUAGUUUCAUGUGGGUGUGUAUGGAGAGGGAAGGUAUAUACAUAUAUUUGUAAUCAUGUAUGUGCAUCAAUAUGGAUGCAUGUGUCCAUAUACACACAUGUAUGUGGAGGAUAGAGUAUAACCAUAGGUGUUAUUCCUAUGUAUGCUAUCUACUUCUUUUUUUGUUGUUUUAUGAGAAAUGUUUUACAUUGGCAUCAGGGGCUCUGUGACUAUGAGAGGAUACCUGGCCAUAAAGCUCCAGGUUUAUGUCUAUCUUGCCCGCCCCCCACCUCUGAGACUAGAAACAUCAAGCCUGGCCUUUUCACAUGGAUCCUGGGAUUUUCAAGUGCUUUACUGACUGAACUCUCUCACCAGGCCUAAGUUUUCAUCCUUAAAUAUUGCUUGAAACAGUAUUUUGAGUCAUAGUAUUCCACAUGAAGUUCAUCUAGCCCUCUAGAUAUCCAUUCCAGCAAUAAAUAAACAGAUAUGAAUCGUGAUCUAGAACCAUCAAUGGCAAUGAGUCGACUGAGGUUCAAUUCUUUGGGAAGUCUCCUUGCCAUGAGAAUGCGAACAGAUGUUCAUUUGAACCCUGUUCUUAUUAGGUAUGAAUAUUUAGUGUGCGACAGGACUUAUAUAACCAUCCCUUAUAGUCUGUUUUGGUUUGUGACUGUCAAACUUAAUGUGACUUUUGCUUUCCUUCUUUUAAUCAAAAAACGAUGAAAAUUAAAAAUGAUAUUGAACACUAAGUUGUGUAGCGUCCAGCACUUGACAAUGCUUGAAGCUUCCUGACAGUCAGUCAGGGUUCCGUUCCUGACACUUUCAUUCCUGAGCCUGUAAAUCUUUGUUUCUUCCUUGCUUUGUUUUUCCAAAGGUCACUUAUCAUGCUUGAAGAAGUCAUACAACUGAUUAGUGUCUAUGUCCUGAUUAUUUAACUGCUGGUAUGGUUUGUUUUUGAGGAAGGAGUUACGUUCUUUUAGCUAUCACUCCCCACAGUACUGAGCAGGAUCAUAAGCACUCUUCAAUAUGCAAGAAGCCUUCAAACACUGUCCACAUUGACUCAUACAAAGCUCUGAGUUUUAACAAGUACAUUGGUCAGGCUCUGUUUUGGACUUCAUGGUAACUAUUUAAAUAAAUUUUAACCUAUUUUCUGAAGCCUAUUAGCCAUUUUUACCUUAACGCUAAUAAUAUUGCAAUUUUUUCCUUCAGAGGUCCUUUAUAUUUCUCUCUUAUUUAUUAGUAGGAAAGCAGAAAAUCUUUUGACAUUUGAGAUUUUAAAAACAUUCAACUAAAAAUGUCACACUUUUAGAUGGACCUAGACACAUAUUCACAAGUUGUGCUGCUGGGUCUUCAUAUAGCACUCCUACAAUGGCAGCAAGGGCUUUCUCUGACUUCAUUGCCUGUCUUAGGAUUCCUUUCCCUCUACUGGGCUGCUUUAUCUAGCCUCAAUAGAAUAAGAUCAGAUAGUCCUACUGCAGCUUGGUAUGCCAAAGCUGGUUGAUACCCACAGUAGCGCUCCCUUUUAUGGGAAGAAAAGGGGAAAAGAGGUAGAUGGAGGAUGGGAUGGGAGAGGGAGAGACUGAAAGGAUAGGAGGGAAGGGAAGUUACUAUCUGGGUGUAAAUUAAACAAAUAACUUAAACAACAGUAAAGAAAAUGAAAAUUUUACCCCUUUAAACUAUUUUUUAAACUAUAGAAUUCAGUAUUUCAGAAUUCAUUAAUGUUCUGUCAUUUGCUUUUAGAAGUUUUGACCCAGUUACAAUGUUUCUCCUGUUUUGGGAUUAUGAAAAUAGUACCCUUUACCCAGUGUCUAUGACGAUUUAAAAAUCUUUCAUGGCAGUAUUUUAGAGAGCUGAUUUAUGUAGUUCAGCUCUUGUGAAAAGAAGAAGUGCAAUAAGUUGAGUACACAAAUAUUGGGACAUAUUUAAGAGGAAGAUGACAGAUGCAUUACAAGAACUCAUGUUUAAUCCCCAUACAUUCACAACAGAAUCUGAACCAGAGCAUGACAAUCACUGUACUGCUAAUGUUUUUCACCAGAGGAAGUGAAAGCUCACACAGUCUAUAUCCUCAAGCUUAAUAAAACUCUUAUGGUAGCUAUAACCUUUAAAAUGUAGGUUUACCUGAAACUCGAGGUUAUUGGUUUUUCCCAAUUAUUGAUGACUGCUUAAGAUAUUUGACUUGUUUUUUCUGACACUUCAGCAAAUAAGAGCAAUGUCUUUGCAUAACUUUGACUAUAAAUGCAUAUUGCAUACAUAACAAAAAUUCUUAAUAUUAAAGUAGUCAUAAGCUGACAGUAUUGACACAUGACUGGGCAUUUACUAUCCUCUCGACAUUUGACUACUUUGUUUGGAUUCUUUCUGUUUACCACCAUGCCCUCUCAUUAGAUUUCAGAAAACACCAAGAUUUUGGCUAUGUUUGUAAAAACAAACAUCAAGUCCUUUUUCUUGGGGAAGCAAUAAUGAAUGGCCCAGCUAGAUAACACAUGGUAGAAAAUAUUUGCCAUUCAAACCAAAGUCCCUGAGAUUAAGCCUUGGGAGUCAUGAUGGAAGUUGGAAAAAGACAGCCAAAGGCUACCCUAUGAUCUCCACACAUGAGCGACAGUACACAUAUGCCCACACCCCAAACAAACACAAUAACAGCACAUUAAAUAACAUAUGAAAUCUUAAAUAUACUCUUCAUUCAUUUAAAAAUAUUUUUAUUUUCUGAGAAUUUAAUACAAUGUAUUUUAGUCAUAUUUACCCCUCUCACUCAAAUCCUUUCAGAUCCGUACCCACCUCCUCUACUCAGUCAAUACCUCUCUGUCUCUCUCUGUCUCACUUUUGUAUUCUUUUCAAAUUAAUGUUUAGAAAUGAUUAAGAAGAAAAUUAUGUGUGUACAUGAUAAACAAUGAACAGGUAAUAAUUAAUAAUCAGAUAAGAUAAAAAUGGCAUUCUAAUGUCCUAUAAAUUAAAUCAAAAUAUUAAUUA
rnacentral:sRNA from 1 species